GAUGAACGCUGGCGGCGUGCCUAAUACAUGCAAGUCGAGCGAACAGACGAGGAGCUUGCUCCUCUGACGUUAGCGGCGGACGGGUGAGUAACACGUGGAUAACCUACCUAUAAGACUGGGAUAACUUCGGGAAACCGGAGCUAAUACCGGAUAAUAUAUUGAACCGCAUGGUUCAAUAGUGAAAGACGGUUUUGCUGUCACUUAUAGAUGGAUCCGCGCCGCAUUAGCUAGUUGGUAAGGUAACGGCUUACCAAGGCAACGAUGCGUAGCCGACCUGAGAGGGGGAUCGGCCACACGGGAACUGAGACACGGUCCAGACUCCUACGGGAGGCAGCAGUAGGGAAUCUUCCGCAAUGGGCGAAAGCCUGACGGAGCAACGCCGCGUGAGUGAUGAAGGUCUUCGGAGCGUAAAACUCUGUUAUUAGGGAAGAACAAAUGUGUAAGUAACUAUGCACGUCUUGACGGUACCUAAUCAGAAAGCCACGGCUAACUACGUG
rnacentral:rRNA from 1 species